rnacentral:tRNA from 1 species
ACUAUUGUAGUCUAGUUGAUCAGAAUACUCGACUCUCACCCGAGAGACCUGGGUUCAAGUCCCGACAAAGGAA